CCCUCAUCUGCUGAGCCUCCACGCUAAGGUUCAACAGUCAACAUGCCCUCCCAAAUGGAACACGCCAUGGAAACCAUGAUGUUUACAUUUCACAAAUUUGCUGGGGACAAGUGCUACUUAACAAAGGAGGACCUGAGAGUACUCAUGGAAAAGGAGUUCCCUGGAUUUUUGGAAAAUCAAAAAGACCCUCUGGCUUUGGACAAAAUCAUGAAGGACCUGGACCACUGCCGAGAUGGCAAAGUGGGCUUCCAGAGCUUCUUUUCACUAAUUGCAGGCCUCACCAUUGCGUGCAAUGAUUACUUUGUAGUACACAUGAAGCAGAAGGGAAAGAAGUAGGCGGCGUGAACAUUUACUCCUGCCCUGAUGAGAGUUCUCCCAAAGGGCCGUUUAAGGAAUCUGCCCCUCGGUUGCCCCUUGUAUAAAGAUGUCAUGAGCAGAUCAGGACCCUUAGAUAAUGUACAAAUAACAUCCAGCUCUCACUGGACAGAGGGUGGAAGGUUCAUUAAAUGCUACAUAAGCUUUUGAUUUUUGUAUUUGCAUCCUCUUGCCCUCAAUAAAGUCUUUUUUUAGUUCCAAA